GGAUUAGAUACCCUGGUAGUCCACGCUGUAAACGUUGGAUACUAGGUGUUGGUCUACGUUUAGUGGAGCAGUGCCGAAGCUAACGCAUUAAGUAUCCCGCCUGGGGAGUACGAUCGCAAGGUUGAAACUCAAAGGAAUUGACGGGGACCCGCACAAGCGGUGGAGCAUGUGGUUUAAUUCGAUGCAACGCGAAGAACCUUACCUGGGCUUGAAGUGCAGGCAUUAGCUACCUGAAAGGGAUAGUGAUCCUACUCUGUAGGAACCUGUAGAGGUGCUGCAUGGCUGUCGUCAGCUCGUGCUG
rnacentral:rRNA from 1 species